rnacentral:miRNA from 1 species
CGACAAUUAUUUUGGAACGGAGG